AUUGAACGCUGGCGGCAGGCUUAACACAUGCAAGUCGAGCGAGCGGCGGACGGGAGAGUAAUGUCUGGGAACCUGCCUGAUGGAGGGGGAUAACUACUGGAAACGGUGGCUAAUACCGCAUACCAUCAGAUGUGCCCAUAUGGGAUUAGCUAGUAGGUGGGGUAAUGGCUCACCUAGGCGACGCUCCCUAGCUGGGCUGAGAGGAGGACCAGCAACACUGGAACUGAGACACGGGCCAGACUCAUACGGGAGGCAGCAGUGGGGAAUAUUGCACAAUGGGCGCAAGCCUGAUGGAGCCAGGCCGCGGGUGUGAAGAAGGCCUUCGGGUUGUAAAGCACUUUCAGCGAGGAGGCGUUACUCGCAGAAGAAGCACCGGCUAACUCCGUGCCAGCAGCCGCGGUAAUAC
rnacentral:rRNA from 1 species